UACGUAGGGUGCAAGCGUUAAUCGGAAUUACUGGGCGUAAAGCGUGCGCAGGCGGUUAUGCAAGACAGAUGUGAAAUCCCCGGGCUUAACCUAGGAACUGCAUUUGUGACUGCAUAGCUAGAGUACGGUAGAGGGGGAUGGAAUUCCGCGUGUAGCAGUGAAAUGCGUAGAUAUGCGGAGGAACACCGAUGGCGAAGGCAGUCCCCUGGACCUGUACUGACGCUCAUGCACGAAAGCGUGGGGAGCAAACAGG
rnacentral:rRNA from 1 species